GAUGAACGCUGGCGGCGUGCCUAAUACAUGCAAGUCGAGCGAACAGACGAGGAGCUUGCUCCUCUGACGUUAGCGGCGGACGGGUGAGUAACACGUGGAUAACCUACCUAUAAGACUGGGAUAACUUCGGGAAACCGGAGCUAAUACCGGAUAAUAUAUUGAACCGCAUGGUUCAAUAGUGAAAGACGGUUUUGCUGUCACUUAUAGAUGGAUCCGCGCCGCAUUAGCAAGUUGGUAAGGUAACGGCUUACCAAGGCAACGAUGCGUAGCCGACCUGAGAGGGUGAUCGGCCACACUGGAACUGAGACACGGUCCAGACUCCUACGGGAGGCAGCAGUAGGGAAUCUUCCGCAAUGGGCGAAAGCUUGACGGAGCAACGCCGCGUGAGUGAUGAAGGUCUUCGGAUCGUAAAACUCUGUUAUUAGGGAAGAACAAAUGUGUAAGUAACUAUGCACGUCUUGACGGUACCUAAUCAGAAAGCCACGGCUAACUACGUG
rnacentral:rRNA from 1 species